rnacentral:rRNA from 1 species
CUACGGGUCGCACCAGUGGGGAAUAUUGGACAAUGGGGGAAACCCUGAUCCAGCAAUGCCGCGUGUGUGAAGAAGGCCUGCGGGUUGUAAAGCACUUUCGGUUGGGAGGACUGCUUCUAGCACUAAUAUUGUUGGAAGUUGACGUUACCUUCAGAAGAAGCACCGGCUAACUCCGUGCCAGCAGCCGCGGUAAUACGGAGGGUGCAAGCGUUAAUCGGAAUUACUGGGCGUAAAGCGCGCGUAGGCGGCUAGAUCAGUCGGAUGUGAAAGCCCCGGGCUUAACCUGGGAACUGCAUCCGAUACUGUCUAGCUUGAGUACAGGAGAGGAGAGUGGAAUUCCACAUGUAGCGGUGAAAUGCGUAGAUAUGUGGAGGAACACCAAUGGCGAAGGCAGCUCUCUGGCCUGAUAUUGACGCUGAGGUGCGAAAGCGUGGGGAGCAACAGGAUUAGAUACCCCCGUAGUC